GGUGGGGUUCCCGAGCGGCCAAAGGGAGCAGACUGUAAAUCUGCCAUCUACGAUUUCGAAGGUUCGAAUCCUUCCCCCACCA
rnacentral:tRNA from 1 species